rnacentral:rRNA from 1 species
AUUGAACGCUGGCGGCAGGCCUAACACAUGCAAGUCGAGCGGAAACGAAGGGAGCUUGCUCCCAGGCGUCGAGCGGCGGACGGGUGAGUAACACGUGAGAAUAUGCCCAUUAGUGGGGGACAACUCGGGGAAACUCGAGCUAAUACCGCAUAAUCCCUACGGGGGAAAGCAGGGGACCUUUUGGCCUUGCGCUGACGGAUGAGCUCACGUCGGAUUCGCUUGUUGGUGAGGUAAAGGCGCACCAAGGCGACGAUCCGUAGCUGGUCUGGGAGGAUGAUCAGCCACACUGGGACUGAGACACGGCCCAGACUCCUACGGGAGGCAGCAGUGGGGAAUCUUGGACAAUGGGGGCAACCCUGAUCCAGCCAUGCCGCGUGUGUGAAGAAGGCCUCCGGGUUGUAAAGCACUUUCAGCAGGGAGGAAGGCUUUGGCCGAAUAGGUUGAAGUACUUGACGUUACCUGCAGAAGAAGCACCGGCUAAUUUCGUGCCAGCAGCCGCCGUAA